UAGAUAUUUCCAUAAGCAAACUUGAUGCCCAAGUUUCUUAAUCUUCUUCUUCAUUUCUCUAGCAUAAUUCAUUCUCCAUUGUUGUGUGGGUGCCUAAGCUCUCAAAUAAAAAAAUAAAACACAAGUCCUAGAUUUUUAACUUUACUCACAAAAGUUUCUUAACGAAAAACGUUGAGCAUUUUCCGUAGAUCGUUAAUCUAUCUUUGCAUGUUGGAUCAAGGAAAGCUGGUCCGAUUUUGAUGAAGGCUUCCGAACGUUUAUUUCUCGGAAGUCUGCUUUGAUAAAAGACUGUAAAGAAGGUUUUAAGUUCUAGUUGUCCGCAGUAGAUUAGUAUAGUCUUAUUGUAAUCAAAUGUUUUAAAGCGCAUUUAAACUCUGAUGUUUUGUCCCAUCAGUUAUUUAAUAAAUGUUUCAUACAUUUCUA